rnacentral:rRNA from 1 species
GCGUUGGUUGUAGCUGGCUCCUCGGAGCAAUGUGCACGCCCGCCAUUUUUAUCUUUCCACCUGUGCACCGACUGUAGGUCUGGAUACCUCUCGCCUCCGGGCGGAUGCGAGGGUUGCUCGUAAGGGCUUCCCUUGAACUUCCAGGCUCUACGUCUUUUUACACACCCCAAUAGUAUGAUGCAGAAUGUAGUCAAUGGGCUUCUCAGCCUAUAAAACACUAUACAACUUUCAGCAACGGAUCUCUUGGCUCUCGCAUCGAUGAAGAACGCAGCGAAAUGCGAUAAGUAAUGUGAAUUGCAGAAUUCAGUGAAUCAUCGAAUCUUUGAACGCACCUUGCGCUCCUUGGUAUUCCGAGGAGCAUGCCUGUUUGAGUGUCAUUAAAUUCUCAACCUCACCAGUUUUCUGAACUGACUGAGGCUUGGAUGUGGGGGUUUGUGCAGGCUGCCUCACCGGCGGUCUGCUCCCCUGAAAUGCAUUAGCGAGGUUCAUGCUGGACCUCCGUCUAUUGGUGUGAUAAU